rnacentral:rRNA from 1 species
UCCUACGGGGGGCUGCAGUGGGGAAUAUUGGACAAUGGGGGAAACCCUGAUCCAGCGACGCCGCGUGUGUGAAGAAGGCCUGCGGGUUGUAAAGCACUUUUAGUGGGGAUGAAAAGCUCAGGGCUAACACCUCUGGGUCUUGACCUAACCCACAGAAAAAGCACCGGCUAACUCUGUGCCAGCAGCCGCGGUAAUACAGAGGGUGCAAGCGUUAAUCGGAAUUACUGGGCGUAAAGCGUGCGUAGACGGUUAUGUAAGUCGGGUGUGAAAGCCCCGGGCUCAACCUGGGAAUUCCAUUCGAGACUGCAUAGCUAGGGUGCGGAAGAGGGAAGCGGAAUUUCCGGUGUAGCGGUGAAAUGCGUAGAUAUCGGAAGGAACACCAGUGGCGAAAGCGGCUUCCUGGUCCAGCACCGACGUUCAGGCACGAAAGCGUGGGGAGCAAACAGGAUUAGAUACCCUUGUAGUCC